AACAAACGCUGGCGGCGUGCCUAAUACAUGCAAGUCGAACGGGGAAAGCUUUCGGGUGAGUACUAGUGGCGCACGGGUGAGUAACGCGUGGAUAAUCUGCCUUAGAGUGGGGGAUAACUAGUCGAAAGAUUAGCUAAUACCGCAUAAGACCACAAGAACUGCGGUUCAAGAGGUCAAAGGUUUUUCGCUCUAAGAUGAGGCCGCGUAAGAUUAGCUAGUUGGUGAGGUAACGGCUCACCAAGGCAACGAUCUUUAACUGGUCUGAGAGGAAGAUCAGUCACACUGGAACUGAGACACGGUCCAGAGUCCUACGGGAGGCAGCAGUAGGGAAUAUUGCACAAUGGAGGAAACUCUGAUGCAGCGACGCCGCGUGAGUGAUAAAGGCCUUCGGGUCGUAAAGCUCUGUCGCAGGGGAAUAACACAAUGAAUGUACCCUGUAAGAAAGGAUCGGCUAACUUCGUGCCAGCCGCCGCGGUAA
rnacentral:rRNA from 1 species